rnacentral:rRNA from 1 species
UGGGGAAUUUUGGACAAUGGGCGCAAGCCUGAUCCAGCCAUGCCGCGUGCGGGAAGAAGGCCUUCGGGUUGUAAACCGCUUUUGUCAGGGAAGAAACGCUCUGGGCUAAUACCCUGGGGUAAUGACGGUACCUGAAGAAUAAGCACCGGCUAACUACGUGCCAGCAGCCGCGGUAAUACGUAGGGUGCAAGCGUUAAUCGGAAUUACUGGGCGUAAAGCGUGCGCAGGCGGUUAUGCAAGACAGAUGUGAAAUCCCCGGGCUCAACCUGGGAACUGCAUUUGUGACUGUAUAGCUAGAGUACGGUAGAGGGGGAUGGAAUUCCGCGUGUAGCAGUGAAAUGCGUAGAUAUGCGGAGGAACACCGAUGGCGAAGGCAAUCCCCUGGACCUGUACUGACGCUCAUGCACGAAAGCGUGGGGAGCAAACAGGAUUAGAUACCCAAGUAGUCCCUGAGCGGGCUGGCAAGGCGCAU